rnacentral:lncRNA from 1 species
CCCCAACGUCCCAAAGCACGGCCUGGUCCACCUCCUGCUCUGCCAGCAGAGAGCAGUGUUUGAGAGCAAACACAGGAAAGUCCCUACCAGUCACCAUCUCCACUGUAGCCUUCUACAUAAUCAGAAAUUAUAGAAGAGAAGUAGGACAACCAAUCAGUCUUCAGGCUAUUUUGGAGUCCAACCCACUGCCAGUCAUCAUCCAACAAAUAACGCCACUCGUUCUGCCGUGGCUGUCAGGAGGUCAUAGGCUGGACACUGACAAUCACACGCACCUAUGAGGAGCAGCUCUUAAUGGGCUUUCCUUUCAGCAGCAAAGGAAUCCUCUCCAGACACACUCCUCUGGUGCUGCCCAUGUAUAUGAAGGAGGUGCAUAGUGCACUGGCAGAGGGGUUGGAGAGAUCGAUGAGCUGGGCCACAGGAACAUUUUAUCUUUCAAGAUAUCACCGUUUUCAAUUAGAGUUGAUUGAAAAGGGUCACAAAUAAAUGGAGGGGAAGCCAAUCUACAUGUACAUGAGCCUGAAGAUCCAGGGUGAUGAAAUCAACCUCUACCAGCACCUUGACUAUGAGACAACGAGCCUCCUGCUUUACAGAGAAAAGCAGCAAGACCCCCACCUCUACCGCCUAAACCACAAUAUUUACAAAUAGCUAGACACAAACUUCCAACCCUUUCUUCAUCAUUGGAGAACAAUUCCCAGUCCUACUCUGGUGGCUCUUGGCACCCACUCUUCUGCUCCUUAGCAGAGGUGCCCUCUAAUCUAGUGUGUGGCACAGGUGUGCUCCAGCCUGCGACUGCUCAACUUGGGCUAGUAAUGCCAGGCCUUUGAGAGGGAGAAGAUUGAUGGGGACGUGUUGAACACAGUGGAGCCCAGCAUGAUGAGGAAGACCCUGGGUAUGGGGUACCUGCACGUGGAGAAGCUGCUCCGCUUCCAACAUGGCUGGAGGCCCUUACUUAGGUCCUUUGGAGCUGAGCAGGUUGGGUAGUAACGGAUUACCUGUAAUGGGGAUAUGCAAUCAGAUUAUAAAAAUUACAGGGGCAAUCUGGGAACCAAAAACCAAUAAAGUGGUCAUCCUGCCACUUUUUUGGUAACCAGCUGCAUUUUUUGGUAACCAGCUGCAUACAUAAAAGGACAUUUUGGAAAAAUGUAUUGCAUAUUUUAUGUUAGGCUAAGUACCAUUUACAUUGGUAAUGGUUGAAGUGUCAUUCAAAAUAAAGGUUACUUUUGAAGCAAUUCCUGCUGGGAAGCAAACAUUCAUCCACACAGCAUGAUAAAAAGCACAGGUUUCAGGCUUACUGCCUUGUCCCGCUGUCACACCACAGGGCCGG